UUACUCAGGUUUCUCUUCAUAAGGUACAAGUCUUUUGCCUUUUACUAAAGACUUCCGUGGAGAGGAAUAACAAUGAGUUAAACCUCUUUUUGGUCUCUGUGUUACACAUGA